rnacentral:snRNA from 1 species
AGCUUUGUGCAGUAGCAGUAUCGUAGCCUGUGAGGUUUAGCCGAGGCACGAUUAUUGCUAUUUGCUAGAUUGAAAUUUAACACGGUGCAUUACUGCCACCUACGGGU